AUCCUUUCUGGUUCAUAAAGCAUGAUGACUGGGUGUUCAUGCCAUUGUGUGAUAUGUGCCACCCAUAAACCUUGUUACGACAUGGGCACAUUACCCGUGUGACA